GUUUCGUCCAGACUCGUUUGUUCAAUAACAGCAUCAGCAGCACACUGGUUCAUCUCUUGAUCCCUGAAGCAGCAGACGCGUGUUCAAUUCCCUGCAUCUGCGGAUUAAAUACACCAUUUUUCUCUAUUUUCUUGAUUCAGUUCUCGCGGCCGAAGAUGCUUCAAUAGCUGUGGAGCCUUUCUUGUAUCACAACAGCAACAUAGCUCAUAUGAUCCGAUGCUGGGCCUCGACCCGUUUUCUCUUCAUAUGCAGCCAUCGCCCACGCGGCCCAGGAUUUCCCAUCGCCAACGCAGACCGGAUCCGGCCCAGAACGUCAAAGCAUUUGCUUCUUCCCGGAUAGGACCGCGAAGUGGUGUGGUGAGAUACGACAAGUUCUCCGGAUGUUCCUCGACGAGCUUUAACAGGCAAGCAUUUUCCCUUAUACUCCUGUCCCUGCAGGAGUCGCUCACCUAUUUUAUUUUGCCUUCUCCCUCAUGCUAUCCUUAAGUUGCGUUCUUGUCACGUGUCCCUUCCACUUGUUACCUCAAGCAGCCUAUAUUGACUCCACCAACCACCUACAGCUAUUGUUUGGUUAUCGGGUCUGCCUUGCGAGUCGUAGUGCAUGCUAGUGCUGUUUUAUCUCGUUACCGUUGUUGUUAUCUUAUCGGGAUAUGUUGGGUUGUUGGGAGGUUAUCACAUGCUAUAUCAGUUGUUGGAGAUACACGUGCUUUACUUAAUUGUUAACAACUAAAAUUGUAAGCAGAGGCAUCUAUGUGCCCCUUUGCGAAAGCAUCGGAACUUUGACUUGCUAAUGUCCCCUAGGACCCGAGUUCUUGUUAUCUGUUCCGAGAUUGAGCGCUCUACCCAUGCGUGGGGAUUCACUGGGACCCCCCUCACCCAUUACCUUUUCUCAAGUCAGUUGAAAAGUGGGCCACAACCUUGGUUUUAUUUGGCGCAUACAUGUUUAUAUAUUGUUGCCUUUGGGUGUUUACUUCCUGUUGCCUUCGGGUGGUUUAUUUCUGUACUGCACUGUAUAAUUGCUAGACGACUUAUCUAGUGCUUGGCCGUUAGUGCCCGCCUAGACGCCUACACAACCUCUGGGUCCGUCUCGGAGUACGGCCGAACUUCGUCACGGGUAGCUUAGUUGGGUGGCCCCCCCUAGACUUUCUUGUUGAACUGGGAACGGUCUUGUUGUGAGACAUCGCCUGUAAGAAGCGGGUCGAGCAUGCGUAUGGUUACAUUUGGGCAACCCCUGCAGGGUGUACAUCUUAUCGAUAAGCCGUGUCCGCGGUUAUGGAUGGCUUGGAAUUGUAUAGCUUGAUCAUAGAACAACUUACACCGUUAUCUUGUUGCUAAUAAUCUGAUAAUAACUUGCGUAGUAAUAUAGCCUUACUACAACCGUUACCCAAUAAAACUUGUCCACCGUUGAGUGCCUUUUACAUUGCCUCUUCGCAAUUGUUGGAGGGGAUAUGUGUAAUCGGCUGGGUUAUGUUUGUGUAGUAUUUUAUCUGUUACCUUAUGCGCUCUCUCACCUUCUCUGAUUAGACGAAUGUUGUAGAGUGUCUCUAUAGGUUUUUAGUGCUUGCGCUGCCGCUUAACUCCACCAUAUUGCCUAUGACGUUCCUCUUGCAUCCUCUAAGUCCCCUGCGUGCCUCAAGUACAAAGGAUGACUGGUUGACGAAUGCUUAUACGUCUUGAAGUCUUGUUAAGUACGAACCCGUACUUAUUGCUGCUUCUACGGGAUAUAACCGGGCAGGUAUGAAGAUAUGUUCGAAGAAGACGACGUUAGCAAGGUUACCCUUCCGGCUUGGCACAGGCGAGGUUAUGGACGCCACUGGUUAUCUUCAGGACUCUUAGUCCAAUUUGUAUCUUGUCCGUACUCGGACGUAUUCGAUCUUCUGUAUGAUUCGGAUCUUUGUAUUGUAUAUUUGUAUCUUGACUCGUCGGAGUCGUUGUUGUAAUAUAUGUAUCUUGUGGGCUCUAUUGUAAUCCUGUUGUAAUGUUA